rnacentral:rRNA from 1 species
UACGAAGGGAGCUAGCGUUGUUCGGAAUCACUGGGCGUAAAGCGCACGUAGGCGGAUUUGUCAGUCAGGGGUGAAAUCCCGGGCUCAACCUCGGAACUGCCUUUGAUACAGCAAGUCUUGAGUUCGAGAGAGGUGGGUGGAAUUCCUAGUGUAGAGGUGAAAUUCGUAGAUAUUAGGAAGAACACCGGUGGCGAAGGCGGCCCACUGGCUCGAUACUGACGCUGAGGUGCGAAAGCGUGGGGAGCAAACAGG